AAUUAAUCUAUCAUGCUACAAUCAUGUGGCUUACAUCCUCAUCAACUUCUCCCUCCCUAUUCAUGUAAUAUUGAUCCAAAGUACUAAAAUACAUCUGUCUUGAUUACCUCAUAUUCCAACAUAUACACAAUCUAUGCAUCUCUUAUCACCAAAAAUACAUGAAUAACAACAACAAAAACCUUAGAACCAGAGCAACAACCUAACUGGGGACUUUUCACAAAAAUAUUGUGGGCAUCUACUUUCUUAAAAAUAACACCCUUAGCCGAGAAUUCAUUUAUCUCAUGCAUAGAAAAUCCAUGAGCAGAGAUGAAUUCCACCUAAGAUUGGUUCUUUUUCCGUUCAUCAACAACAUCAAGUUGGUCUUGACGAGAGAAAUGUUGGGCAACCUUGAAAAUUUCCUGAAUAUCCGAGUUAAGGCCCAGACCCAUGUUUUCAUUCAUAAUGCCAUUUGCAUCAGAUUCUGCAAAAAAGAGAACCAGGGGCAGAGCCUCCGAUUCAACAUUUUGGGAGAAUUUGGGUUUGACAUCCCAUACUCAACGAACAAGUCACGAGAAGGGCUACUAGGAGAGUUUCCUUUAGAUAAGUGUGAAUGACUAACCAUGAGGGGAAAGAAGAUGAGGGUCAGAGAAAGGGGAAAAGAAGGGAAACAGAGCGGAGAAAAGGAAGCGAUGAUAGGUGAUGGGGGUAUAAUCGUCAGAAUUGAGGAAUAAACCAGUCCGCUAGUUAUUCUAGCAGAUGACGAGUUUGAUUUUUAAAUCUUAACCAUUCAUAAAUGUAAUAGAAGGUAAUAUAGUCUUUGCCCAUUUUUGAUUCGUAGUAAAUACAUCAUAUAGAUC
rnacentral:lncRNA from 1 species